CGGGGCGUAGCAUAAUGGUAGUGUGCGCGCUUUGGGAGCGCGUGGCCCGAGUUCGAUUCUCGGCGCCCCGACCA
rnacentral:tRNA from 1 species